rnacentral:lncRNA from 1 species
UCUAAUUGAAUUAUUCCUUUAGACUAAACCAGAUGGUUUGGUUUUCUUCUAAUUAUUUAAUUAUUGUUAAUCCCGUACUCCACCCAUUUGCCCUAACCUAUACGUGUGUGUGUUAUCAUACCUAGUAUAUAUAUAUAAGUAAGCAUGAGCCGCCAUUGCACCUCUUUUUUUAUCAAUCCUCCAUCUCCACACACGUGCUCUCCCUUCCGCCAUCGUUCAUGUCCGUUCUUCACCACCGGAGUAGUAGCCAUGCCACCACACGCUUCGUUCUGUGCCGCCGCGUCCAUGAUGGUGACGUUAUGUAUCGGAUCCGUUAGAUGGUGAACAUGACCGACAUGAGGAGAUAACUUGAAGGCGGAGCCACCAUCUCAUCACCACCGUCAACCACUGAUUCGCGCCGGCAUGAGCCACAAGCCACCACCUGAGAGCCAUGUCCUCGUCAAUGGAGUUAUCGCAAGCCAUCAUUGUUGAGAUCCGAGCAAGUGAGAUCAUGGUCUCACACUUUCUUGUGUAGCAAGCUUAUUCUCCUCCACCUUUGAUUGAUCUCUAGUCAUCAGCUCCGGUCUGUUCUUCCCGUUGAUGUCGUCAUAGCCAUGUCAUCAAUGCCAUCAAGCGCUUCAUGUUUGUGUCCGUUUCAUCUCGUGUUGCAAAUCGUAUAUAUGAUGAUGUGAUGUACGUAAUACCAUGUGACGUUCACGUUACGUAAAGAUCUCAACACGUGCUCUUUGGUCAAGCUAAACCAAGGUUAGGGUUGUCUACCUAAAUACUUGAUUCUUACGUCAAGUUCUAUAAAGUAUAGACCAUAAUCUAAUCACCUUUUUUUUUCCUUUGUAUAAUAAUGUUUUAUGUUCCAAUUGGCCGGAGGUGCCACUUUCUCAAGCCAAGGCGAAAGG